AGGUUGUCGGGAGAGGCGCUGAAUACCGGGAUUCUCCCGCUAAAAACGGGAGGGUUGGCAAGUAUGUAAAAAAGAUAUUUGGUUUUCAAUUAGAAAAAAAAAGUUCUCCACUGGACAUCCAGGCACAUUUUUGAAAUUAGUGUUUAAAGUCGGGACUAUUUCUUGCUUGGCGUAACAAUAUUUUCGUCUCAAGAGGUGACGUUUUUGUCACGUGUUUCACAUUCGACCAAUCGGCAGCCGCGCAGAUCCAAAAUGGCGAUGUCAACAACGUCUAGCGAUGAAGAGGAAAAUACUCUAAUAAAACACCUUCAAAAAGUUUGAAAAAAGAACAACAAAAUAUGCUACAUGCAUGUUACGUCUGUUAGGAAUGAAGAGGUGAAUGCUUUCACUAUCACAAGGUGGGAUACUUACAGGAAUUGUUUAAAACGCUGGCUUUGCUGUGAUGGAGCGUCUCAUAAAGUAGCCGAGACAUUCACAUCCUGUAUCCAUGUUGAAUUGAAAGAUAUUCCUGAUGACGCUGGGCUUCAUCCGACUUGUUACCGGCGGUUCAUUGAUAAGAAGCGUUUGGAUUCUGCCGAAAAACUGGCCAAUCGGCUGGAUGUGGGUCAAGAUGAGUGUGUGGCAUCGGACAACACUUCAGACUCGACAAGUGGCAUUCCAAAGAAAAAACUAAGAUGGAAGACAGGCCUGCCUAUCGCUCCCUGCCAUUUGCAUCAUUUGCAAGAAAGCGGACAAGAGAAUUACUGUGGGAGGCAAACGGCAGAAGGACCAUCGUUCACAGACACAAACGCUUUCAGCAGGUAAACACACACACACACACGCACACACACACACACACACACACACACACACACACACACACACACACACACUACACGUAGCACUUACACACUUACAAACCAUUGAAUCAUCUUUUAUUUUUAGGCCAGUUGAUGAACGCUACCAGGAUAAAGCAAGACAGUAGCAUUCUCUUGCAUAUUGGAGACAGAGACUAUGUAACAGUUACUGGAACCGCAGAUGAAGAAAAGUGAAGCAACCUUUGAUGCCAGCUACAACAUAUUCGGCGAGAGGAUCUUCCGCCAAAGGAUAAUUGUUAAUCAGGAGGUGCUGCGAAUGAAGCAGCUACGACCAAUGUUUUUAAAUACGGUACAAAAACAUGAAGAUUGUGAUGCUUCAAACUACAGGCAGGAUCAAUUAAAGAGAAGGCUGACUCUGGACUUUCCCCAACUGGUGUUUCAAGCGCAACAUCUACGAACUGGAUUUUGUUGAGACAUUGUCUGCAGAUAAGUGAUAGACAGGCUACCUCAUCCAUCAGGUACAGACACAACUGAGUCAACUGCCGUAAGCCAAGGUGAAAGUGACACUGAACACAUGGCAAGAACAACACAAACUACUGAGAACACCAGGACACUUUAUAGUGCAGCGCUGAUAUCGAAGCAGCUACUACCGGUAUGACGUGCCCCUGGCCACCCACAUCACAUGAUUUAAAUGCAAAAUGUGUUGUGCCACUUGAGCUGUACAAUGUUUUUGCUUGGAUUGUAGGUGCAACAGAGGAACCAACAUUAGCCUGUUAUGUUGAUAUUCCAGAAGAUGUCAACCUAAAAGUGAUAUCUGUUUGUCAAGACAUGAUGUAUCUUGCAUUUAAAGGUCGGAGGCAGACACCCAAAUCAUUAUGUCUUGGUCUAAGUAUUGGGCAUUGAACAGGUUCCUCACAAGUUGUGUCACUGCUGAGUGGACUAGGACAUUGUGCUUCAUGAGACAUUCUCUCCAAGGUAUAAUGUUCACCCAAUGGCAAUGGAUGGCACAUUGCGGAUGGGGAGUUAAAAGGGACAUAGAUGACUACAAAUCCUGCCCCUGAUAGUGUGUUAAAGGUAGUCCACUGCAGCUGCAAGCAGAGCAAAUGUGAGGCAGGAAGAUGUUCCUGUAUGUCUGCAAGACUGUCCUGUACUCAUUUGUGCCGCUGCCAAAAGCACAUGGGAAGAUGGCUCUGAUGAUAGUGAUAGCUAAGAGGAAAAAAAAAGAAAGAAAAAAAAAGUGAUAGCUAAGAGAUGAACAAUGUCUCCCUCCUUUAGAAUACGCAAAGUCACACUUAAUCAGUUAGUUCUCUAAUAAAAAUUUGAGUUUUUGCCCCAUUUCAGAAAAAUCCCUCAGAGUAUUUUACUAUUUCUUUUUUUUUAGUUACCAUAUUUUCCGCACCAUAAGCCGCCCCGUGUUGUAAGCCGCACCUUCAAUGGAUGGCAAAUUUCAAAACUUUGUUUACCUAUUAGCCGCCCCGUGUUAUUAGCCGCACCUACGCUACGCUAAAGAGAAUGUCAAAAAAACAGUCAGAUAGGUCAGUCAAACUUUAAUAAUAUAUUACAAACUAGCGUUCUAACAACUCUGUUCACUCCCAAAAUGUAAUGUGCAAAUGUGCAAUCACAAAAAUAGUAACACUCAAAAUAGUGCAGAGCAAUAGCAACAUCAAUAACUCAACGUUGCUCAUACGUUAAUGUCACACAACACACAAAAUAAACAUUUAAAGCUUACUUUCUGAAGUUAUUCCUCAUCCACAAAUCCCUCAAAUUAUUCUUCUUCGGUGUGCUUCACUUGUUUAUUGACACCAUCUGUGAUGUGGACGCGCAUGCAGUCAUAGAUCAACAGGGACGGAGCUGCGUGAAAAAAGUCACCCAGUCUCUUCGCUCAUCUUUUCUUCAUCCAUCCAUCCCUUCGAGUUAGCUUUUAUGACGACGCCGGCUGGAAAGUUCUCUUUUGGCAAGGUCUUCCUUUUGAAUAUCACCGUGGGUGAAAUUUUCUGGCCGUUAGCAUGGCAAGCUAGAACCACGGUGAAGGACGACUUCUCAUUCCCUGUGGUGCGAAUAUUCACCGUACGUGCUCCCGUUGUAUCCAAAGUGCGGUUCACAGGAAUAUCAAAAGUCAGUGGAACCUUGUACGCGUGUCUCUUAGUAGGAGACAUUUUGUGGUCUUUACAGAAACACACAAAUGAAAUGAAACGUAAUAUCCGCGCGCUUCUUCUUCUACGGGGGCGGGUGCUCACCUUGGCGGUUGCUUACAGUAGAAGAAGAAGCGCUUCCUCUUCUAUGGGGGCGGUUGCUUACCGUAGAAGAAGAAGCGCUUCCUCUUCUACGGGGAAAAAAGAUGGCGGCUGUUUACCGUAGUUGCGAGACCUAAACUUUAUGAAAAUAAAUAUUAAUAUUAAUCCAUAUAUAAGGCGCACCGGCUUAUUAGCCGCACUGUCAGCUUUUGAGAAAAAUUGUGGUUUUUAGGUGCGGCUUAUGGUGCGGAAAAUACGGUACUUCAGUUAAAUACUUUAAAAAUAGAAUGUGAGGUUACAGUGCACGUGACCUUAAAACAAAUAAUCAUAGUUUGAGUUUGUCACAAAUUUGAGGAAAAUCUAUCAAAGAAUUCUUGAGAUAUGGCUUUAACAAUGUGCAAAGUUAAGACAAAAUAAUACAAAAAAUGUAUUUAAAAAAAGACUCAAGACCUGCUGUGACAUCAACACAUUGUUUUGUUCGUGUAAAUAUUGUUUUGUACCAUAUUGUAUACAGAUUCUAAACUGUAAUGCAGUAUGUGGGCUCUGUACCGAGGAUGUCGUUGUGGCUUGUGCAGCCCUUUGAGACACUUGUGAUUUAGGGCUAUAUAAAUAAACAUUGAUUGAUUGAUUGAUUUUGUUGUAUUUCCAUUUUUCGGCAUUAUUCGAUAUUUUGAUUGAUGUCAGCCAUUUUGGGCUGGUGUUCUAUAUUUUAUUUUAUUUUUUACUUCCUCUUAUAACACAGUAUCUACUGAAAUUUUUAAUGUAUAAAACAUUAUUGUUAAGCAAAAUGUACCGUGUGUAUGUUCAAUUGUACAGGUUGCUAUUCACUUUUUUUGAAGCGUUUUUUUUCAUUUGUUUUGUAUGUUUCAUGGUUUAAAUUCUAAUUAAAUUAUACCAAUGAUAAAAUACUUGUCUCAAAUGUUAGGUAUAUGUAUUAAUGUCAAUUUGUGAGAGAGA